CUCUGGCCUUAGGUAGUGAUUCUAGCGGAGACUCCUGAGGUAAAUGCCUCAAUGAUGUCUCACCACAGCUCACCUAGGCUGGGUGAGUUACCUCAGUCCCACCAAGUGGGGCGUUUCCCUCAGGGAAUGAGGGGGCUUCUGGCUCCUGAAUGGUUUUAGCCAAGGCGCAAGUUUUUAGGAGUAAAAUAUUGGUGGGAUCUGAUGUGUCCUGUUAAAAGGACCAAACUGCCUCAGGCACUACGUGAAAUGAGUCAAGACUGAAGACAUCAAAAGUUAGCCAAAUGUACCCUGUAGGUCUCCCUUAACAUGAAACUCUGAAGCCAGAUCUUGCCCUUGGCUUUGCUUGCAGGAAGAGGGCCUACCGUUUCUGGCGUGGGCAUUGGUGGUAUAGAAGCCAUUCCUUAUAGGGAGACGGCCUGUCAGGAGUGCUGCCCUGGCUGAAGAGAAAAGAGAAACAUGAAGACGACAGCAGAUCCACCAAGCCUGACUUUCUUUCAAGCACCCAACAAUGAAUAUAGUUCUUCUGUUUCAGCGUCAAUACAGGGAAUCCUUGACUUACGACCACAAUUGGGCCCGGAAUUACAGUUGUAAGUCACGCUGCUCAUUAAGCGGGUUACCAUGUGACCA